rnacentral:rRNA from 1 species
UUCCAGGAAAAGCCUCUAAGCUUCAGAUUGUAAGGAAUCGUACCCCAAACCGACACAGGUGGUCGGGUAGAGAAUACCAAGGCGCUUGAGAGAACUCGGGUGAAGGAACUAGGCAAAAUGGUACCGUAACUUCGGGAGAAGGUACGCUCUCGACGGUGAAGUCCCUCGCGGAUGGAGCUAUUGAGAGUCGCAGAUACCAGGUGGCUGCAACUGUUUAUUAAAAACACAGCACUGUGCAAAAUCGUAAGAUGACGUAUACGGUGUGACGCCUGCCCGGUGCCGGAAGGUUAAUUGAUGGGGUUAGACUUCGGUCGAAGCUCUUGAUCGAAGCCCCGGUAAACGGCGGCCGUAACUAUAACGGUCCUAAGGUAGCGAAAUUCCUUGUCGGGUAAGUUCCGACCUGCACGAAUGGCGUAAUGAUGGCCACGCUGUCUCCACCCGAGACUCAGUGAAAUUGAAAUCGCUGUGAAGAUGCAGUGUACCCGCGGCUAGACGGAAAGACCCCGUGAACCUUUACUACAGCUUGGCACUGAACAUUGACCCUACAUGUGUAGGAUAGGUGGGAGGCUUUGAAGCACGUACGCCAGUAUGUGUGGAGCCGUCCUUGAAAUACCACCCUUGUAGUGUUGAUGUUCUAACGUCGACCCCUUAUCGGGGUUGCGGACAGUGCCUGGUGGGUAGUUUGACUGGGGCGGUCUCCUCCCAAAGAGUAACGGAGGAGCACGAAGGUGGGCUAAUCACGGUUGGACAUCGUGAGGUUAGUGCAAUGGCAUAAGCCCGCUUGACUGCGAGAAUGACAAUUCGAGCAGGUGCGAAAGCAGGUCAUAGUGAUCCGGUGGUUCUGAAUGGAAGGGCCAUCGCUCAACGGAUAAAAGGUACUCCGGGGAUAACAGGCUGAUACCGCCCAAGAGUUCAUAUCGACGGCGGUGUUUGGCACCUCGAUGUCGGCUCAUCACAUCCUGGGGCUGAAGUCGGUCCCAAGGGUAUGGCUGUUCGCCAUUUAAAGUGGUACGCGAGCUGGGUUUAGAACGUCGUGAGACAGUUCGGUCCCUAUCUGCCGUGGGCGUUGGAAGAUUGAAGGGGGCUGCUCCUAGUACGAGAGGACCGGAGUGGACGAACCUCUGGUGUUCGGGUUGUGUCGCCAGACGCAUUGCCCGGUAGCUAAGUUCGGAAUCGAUAACCGCUGAAAGCAUCUAAGCGGGAAGCGAGCCCUGAGAUGAGUCUUCCCUGAUACUUUAAGUAUCCUAAAGGGUUGUCGGAGACUACGACGUUGAUAGGUCAGGUGUGUAAGUGCUGUGAGGCAUUGAGCUAACUGAUACUAAUUGCCCGUGAGGCUUAACCAUACAACAC